rnacentral:rRNA from 1 species
ACGGGAGGCAGCAGUGGGGGAUAUUGCACAAUGGAGGAAACUCUGAUGCAGCGACGCCGCGUGAGCGAAGAAGUAUUUCGGUAUGUAAAGCUCUAUCAGCAGGGAAGAAAAUGACAGUACCUGACUAAGAAGCCCCGGCUAACUACGUGCCAGCAGCCGCGGUAAUACGUAGGGGGCAAGCGUUAUCCGGAUUUACUGGGUGUAAAGGGAGCGUAGGCGGUAAAGCAAGUCAGAGGUGAAAACCCAGGGCUUAACCUUGGGACUGCCUUUGAAACUGUUUUACUGGAGUGCAGGAGAGGUAAGUGGAAUUCCUGGUGUAGCGGUGAAAUGCGUAGAUAUCAGGAAGAACACCGGUGGCGAAGGCGGCUUACUGGACUGUAACUGACGCUGAGGCUCGAAAGCGUGGGGAGCAAACAGGAUUAGAUACCCUGGUA